CCCUUAGAUGUUCUGGGCUGCACGCGUGCUACACUGAUAUUGCUAAUAUGUCAUUCUUAUCCGAAAUGGAUUGGGUAAUCAAGUAAUGAAAUUUCAUGCUUGGAAUCGGUAAUUGCAAUUUUAUCGUGAACGAGGAAUUCCUAGUAAGCACUAGUCAUCAGCUAAUGUUGAUUAUGUCCCUGCCCUUUGUACACACCGCCCGUCGCUACUACUGAUUGGGUGUUCAAGUGAGAUGCUUAGACCCUUGUUGCAUGGUUCAUUAUUGUGCUCCGAAAGGAAAAAGUUUCAAGCUUGAGUGUCUAGAGGAAGUAAAAGUCGUAACA
rnacentral:rRNA from 1 species